rnacentral:tRNA from 1 species
GCAGUGAUGGUUCAGUGGUAGAAUUCUCAACUUCUUUGUGGGAGACCUGGAUUCGAUUCCCAGCCAAUGUA